GAGGCCUUAGCUUAAUUAAAGUGUCUGAGUUGCAUUCAGAAGAUGUGUUUUAGUGUAUCGCAGGUCUUG
rnacentral:tRNA from 1 species